AGAAAGCCCAGUCCCAAGGCGCAGCGUGCGUCAGCAAGACAGCAGAAGCAGGAGGAGAGCUGGCGGGAAGACAUGCACCCCUUGAAGACCCAGAGAGAGGCCGUCUGUCUACCGCGUAGCAGUUACAUCAGACUGAGACACUUCCUGUUUACAGGAGACUAUAAAAUUCCUGCCCCGUGCUCAUUUGGGGCUGACGCCAUUUUAGGCCUCAGCCCAUCUGCACCCAGGCGCUCACUGAAACAGUGUGUUGCUCCACACCGCCUUGUUUUGCUUGUUGGCGCGCUCUCAGGGUUCCGACCAAUCCAAGAGCCUUGCAGAAAGCAUUAACGUGCUUUUCUCUUUGGCAGAGUUUUUCUUUGCUCUGAUCUUGGAGACAUCCCUCUGCCUAGUGGAAACAUAAGGAAUACAGAAAGAAUGCAAGGAGAUAGACCAACGUGAGAUUCUCCUUCAUGCACUCAAGAGAAAGAUGUUGCAGGAAGAGCUAGUCUUUCAGGCUGGGCUGGUGACCUGAGAAAGAAUGUCCAGCUUUUCUUCUCCACUUGGCAUAUCAAGAGCCAGGCGUGGAAGACUAAAACAGGAAAUGUUUAUAAAAACUGUUCAGCGGUUCGCCAACAAGAAGUGGUAAAGUAGCAAAAAUGGGGAUGGAGAUGCCAGGAGGAAAGAUGCCAGGGGUAAAGUGGGAAAAUGGGAACCUGAAGCCAGGAGGUCAAGCCAAGCCAACAGGUGUUCUGUUUUUCAAUGAGGAGGUGGGGCACAGGAUGGAUGGAAACUUUCCACAGUCACAGAACUAAUAAGUGGUGCUGAGGACUCAAACCCGGGGAAGCCCACUCUAGAACCCAUGCUGGUCAUCCAUAUCCCCAAGGCCCUGGUCAGAACACAGCUAAGCAGAUGGCUUGGGUCAUCAGGACGUCCAUUACAUCCAAAGGAAGACAGCCUGUGACGUUUCAAAAGCAAAAGUCCCCUACCAGCCAGUGAAGCUACCUGAUUUCUCAGUAUCUUACGCCCAGUGACACGAUCUACCCUCAAAACUUAAAAAAAAAAGGGAAACAUAAACACAUAACAGCAGCAGCAAUAAUUAAAGAUGAGAUGAGAACAAUUAAGAAAAAAGGAAAGGUCUCCUGUGACUGUUUUAUUUUUAGGGAAACAGAGAGGAAGAAGAAUGAUUUUUCUUUUGAUGACUCUAUAUCCAACUCUGAGGUUUGAUUAAAGAAAUGACCUUGAACCACAGCAAAGAAAAAUAAAAGACAAUUUCCAACAUAGUCUCGCUCUGUUGCCCAGGCUGGAGUGGAGUGAUGUGAUCUCGGCUGUCUGCAACCUCCGCCUUCCAGGUUCAAGUGAUUCUCCUGCCUCAGCCUUCUGAGUAGCUGGGAUUAUAGAUGCCCGCCACCACACCUGGCUAAUUUUUAUUUUGUAUUUUUGGUAGAGAUGGGGUUUCACCAUGGUGGCCAGGCUGGUCUUGAAGUCCUGACCUCAAGCUAUCUACCCCCCUCAGCCUCCCAAAGUGCUGAGAUUAUAGGCGUGAGCCACCGUGCCUGGCCCUGAGAUAGAUUUUUAACAUGAAAGAUGUCAAGGCUAAACACACGUGAGUAACCCCUGCACUGCUGAUGAACGAAUAUGCCACCCUGCCUCUCUCCAAGCAAAGAGGAGAAACCUGCCAUCAGGCUGUAUGAACUCUUCUUUGCUUUUUUCCAGUAUUGUCAUUCAGAUUAGCUUUCAUGCACGUACCACAAGAAAAAUCAGAUGUCCUGGAUUUGUCCUGUGUUCCUCAUCAGCAGAGGAAGCCACUAGCAGCCCUUACGAGAAUCAAGGCUACUCUACUGGAACUCUUCUUACAUAGCCAAAAAUGUGUGAAUUCCAUUUACUGUGAUUUUUAACAAAAAUGUGUUUAUUUAAAUGUGUUUAUUGUGGUACUCGCUUGCUUAAUUAUCUUAUUUAUUUUAUUUGUUGUAUUUUUGAGACAGGUUCUCACUCUGUAGCCCAGACUAGAGUGCAGUGAUGCGAUCCUAGCUCACUGUAGCCUCAACCUCCUGGGCUCAAGCAAUCCUCCUGCCUCAGCCUCCAGAAUAGUUGGGACUACAGCUAUGUGCCAGCACACCCAGCUAAUUUUUUUUUUUUUUUUUUUUUUUUUUUUGUGGAGACGGGGUCUUGCUGUGUUGAGCAGGCUGGUCUCAAACUCCUGGCCUCAAGUGAUCCUCCUGCCUCACCCUCCCAAAGUGCUGGGAUUACAGGUGUGAGCCAUCACUACCCUUGGCCUGUUUGCUUAAUUAUCUGUGGAAUACAGAAAAAGAAAAAAAUCAAUACUCUUUAAAAAAAUAAUCUAGUCCUUAAAACACAUUUUUAGACCGGCCAUAUUGGCUCACACCUGUAAUCCCAGCACUUUGGGAGGCCAAAGUGGGUGGAUCACUUGAGGUGAGGAGUUCAAGACCAGCCUGGCCAACAUGGCAAAACCCCAUCUCUACUAAAAAUACAAAAAUUAGCCAGGUGUGGUGGUGAGCGCCUGUAAUCUCAGCUACUCAGGAAGCUGAGGCAAAAGAAUCUCUUGAAUCCAGGAGGUGGAGGUUGCAAGGAGCUGAGAUUGCACCACUGCACUCCAGCCUGGGUGACAGAAUGAGACUGUCUCCAAAAAAAACUAAAAAAUAAAAUACAUUUUAAAUGAUUUUCAGUGACUAGUUUUUGGAGACCUUUACAUGGCUGCUUUACUCAUGUGGAUGAAUGUGUUUAUCAAUGUCCCUGGGGAAAAUAAAAGCAGCGUUAUUUGCCUUACUUCCCUACCAGAUUUUUGAUAUUUUCUCAAAAUCAGCUGGGUGCAGGAGCAUGAGCCUGUAACCCCAAGCUCUACUCAGGAGGCUGAGGUGGGAGGAUCAGUUGAGCCCAGGAGGUCAAGGCUGCAGUAAGCUAUCACUGCACCACUGCACUCCAGCCUGGGUGACAGAGCAAGACUCUGUUUCUUUAAAAACAAAACAAAACAAAAAAAUCUUAUAUUUUCUCAAAAUCGGAGUCCACUCAUGGGAUGUGUCAUUUUAUUAGCUAUAUAUAUACAUCUAUGCCGUUUGGAUUUGAAUGUCAUCCAUUAUCUGUUGCAGUGGGUUGAAUGGUGUCCCCUUCCCCCAAAAAAAGACAUGCCCAAUCCCUAAGUCCCAGUACCUGUGAAUGCGGCCUUGCUUGGAAAUCAUAUCUUUGCAGAUGUCAUGAAGAGAAGGAUCUCAAGUUGAGAUUAUCCUACAUUAGUUGUGUGAGCCCUGAAUGCAAUGAACCUUAUAAGACAAAAGGAGAAACAGAUACAGAAAGAGACAUGGGAGAAGGUGAUGUGACCACAUAGGCAGAGAUGGGAGUGACGCAGCAGCAAGCCAGGGAGCCCUACGGAUGGCCGGCCGCCACCAAAAGCUGGGAGAAAGGCAGGGAACAGAUUCUCCCUGAGAGCCUUUAGAGCAAGCACAGCCCUGCUCACACCAUGAUUUCAGACUUCCAGCCUCCAGGACUGUGCAAGAAUAAAUGUCUGUUGUUUUAAGCCACCGAGCUUGUGGAACUUUGUAACGGCAGCCCUGGGAAACUAACACCUGUGGGUCGAGGCAGGGAAAGAAAUGCUGCCCCAGUAUAGAGAAGAUUUGCUCCAGGUUCUAGGAGAGCCAAAAAGCAGCAUCUCAUGGCCGUCAGCAAACCCCUGGGAGGACGGCAGACCCCAGGGGGCGAGCAAACUUGCUGGUGGUUGGAGCAUGCCUGAUGCUAUCACUCUGUGGGUACCAAGUACCAGGCAAACAGGUAGGCCUUGUUCAAAGCCAGUGAUGGAGAGAGGCACUCUCCAACAGAGCCAUCGAACAGGGCACGUACUGUAUCAGCUCUAGCAGAGGCCAGCAAACUUUUCUGUAAAGGGCUUGAUAGUAAGUAUUUUCAGCUUUGUGAACCACAAACCGGAGUAGUCUCUGUCACACCUCCUCAGCUCUGCUGUUGGGAAGUGAAACCAACCAUAUGCAACUGCCAAACAAAUACACGUGAAAAUCUUUAUUUACACAUGCUUCGCUCUAUACCCAAAAAAAUGUAAAGCAGGGACUCAAACAGAUACUUGUAUAUGAAUGUUAUUCUCACAAUAGCCAAGAGGUGGAAAUAACCCAGGUGUUCAUCAAUAGAUGAAUGGACAAACGAAAUGUGUAGAUACACGUACAUGCAAAGGAAUAGUAUACAGCCUUAAAAAGGAAUGAAAUUCUGACACGUGCUACAACGUGGGUGAACCCUGAACGCAUGAUGCUAAGUAAAAUAAGCCAGACACAAAAGUAAAAAGAUCGUAUGACUGCACUUACAUGAAGUACCUAGAACAGGCAAAUUCAUAGAGAUAGAAAGUAGAAGUUACUAGAAGCUCAGGAAAGUGGGAAAUGGAAAGUUACCGAUUCACGGUACAGAGUUCCUAUUUGGGGUGCUGAAAAAGUUUUGAAAUUAGAUAGUGGGGAUGGUUAUACAAAGUGUGAAUAUACUCAAUGCCACUGAAUUGUACAAUUUAAAAUGGUUAAAAUAGUAAAUUUUAUGUUAUACAUAUUUUGUCAUAAUAAAGUUUGCAUUUAGAAAAAAAAAAUUUCUUUCAAACAGAGUCUCACUCUGUCACCCAGGCUGGAGUGCAGUGGCAUCAUCUCGGCUCACUGCAACCUCUGCCUCCCAGGUUCAUUCUUUCUGCCUCAGCUUCCUGAGUAGCUGGAAUUACAGGCAUGCAUCACCACAACCAGCUAAUUUUUGUAUUUUUAGUAGAAAUGGGGUUUUGCCAUUUUGGCCAGGCUGGUCUCGAACUUCUGACCUCAAGUGAUCCACCCAGCUCAGCCUCCCAAAGUGCUGGGAUUACAGGCGUGAGCAACCAUACCCGGCUUAGGAAAAAAAAAAAUUAUUUACAAAAAUAGAAACUGGCCAUAGUUUGCCAACUCCUGGUAUAGAGUUUUCUAUAACAUCAAAGUGGCUCUUGGUAUGUGACUGUUCCAGAAUUAUCCCAGCAUAGCAGAUAUGAGGUGGUACUUCCUAUGAGCUCUGCCAUCCUCAGUCCCUGGACUGUGUCAUUUCCUUUGGGCAUGUGCACAUACACCCCUGGAACAUGGAGGAAGGCAUAUUAAUAGCGGGUAGUAUGGAUUUAAAAGCCUCAGAACCGUGUCAUUGAUGCUAUGCUCUGUUCCUGGAAGUGAAAAUGCACAGAGGAACCAGCUGGUACAGUAUGAUGACAACAGAUUUAGGGUACCCAGUCACCAUUCACUGCAUGGCC
rnacentral:lncRNA from 1 species